AUUGAACGCUGGCGGCAGGCCUAACACAUGCAAGUCGAACGGUAACAGGGAUCAGCUUGCUGAUUCGCUGACGAGUGGCGGACGGGUGAGUAAUGUCUGGGAAACUGCCUGAUGGAGGGGGAUAACUACUGGAAACGGUAGCUAAUACCGCAUAACGUCGCAAGACCAAAGAGGGGGACCUUCGGGCCUCUUGCCAUCGGAUGUGCCCAGAUGGGAUUAGCUAGUAGGUGGGGUAACGGCUCACCAAGGCGACGAUCCCUAGCUGGUCUGAGAGGAUGACCAGCCACACUGGAACUGAGACACGGUCCAGACUCCUACGGGAGGCAGCAGUGGGGAAUAUUGCACAAUGGGCGCAAGCCUGAUGCAGCCAUGCCGCGUGUAUGAAGAAGGCCUUCGGGUUGUAAAGUACUUUCAGCGGGGAGGAAAGGAGUAAAGUUAAUACCUUUGCGCAUUGACGUUACCCGCAGAAGAAGCACCGGCUAACUCCGUG
rnacentral:rRNA from 1 species